UGGGGAAUCUUGGACAAUGGGCGCAAGCCUGAUCCAGCCAUGCCGCGUGAGUGACGAAGGCCUUAGGGUUGUAAAGCUCUUUUGGCGGGGACGAUAAUGACGGUACCCGCAGAAUAAGUCCCGGCUAACUCCGUGCCAGUAGCCGCGGUAAUACGAAGGGGACUAGCGUUGUUCGGAAUUACUGGGCGUAAAGCGCACGUAGGCGGAUUUGUUAGUCAGGGGUGAAAUCCCGGGGCUCAACCUCGGAACUGCCUUUGAUACUGCAAGGCUUGAGUCCGGAAGAGGGGAGUGGAAUUCCUAGUGUAGAGGUGAAAUUCGUAGAUAUUAGGAAGAACACCAGUGGCGAAGGCGGCUCACUGGUCCGGUACUGACGCUGAGGUACGAAAGCGUGGGGAGCAAACA
rnacentral:rRNA from 1 species